AUAUCUCUCUGUACGGGAAGGAUGAGAAGCUUCGACCAAGGUUCGAUUCGAGCGCAGCGAGAAAGCGUUGCCGCAGGCAACGACCCGAAGG
rnacentral:sRNA from 3 species